AUGAGUGGCGAACGGGUGAGUAACACGUGAGUAACCUGCCCUCUUCUUUGGGAUAACGCCCGGAAAACGGGUGCUAAUACUGGAUAUUCACUGAUCUUCGCAUGGGGGUUGGUGGAAAGGUUUUUUCUGGUGGGGGAUGGGCUCGCGGCCUAUCAGCUUGUUGGUGGGGUGAUGGCCUACCAAGGCUUUGACGGGUAGCCGGCCUGAGAGGGUGACCGGUCACAUUGGGACUGAGAUACGGCCCAG
rnacentral:rRNA from 1 species